UACGAAGGGGGCUAGCGUUGCUCGGAAUCACUGGGCGUAAAGCGCACGUAGGCGGGUCGUUAAGUCGGGGGUGAAAUCCUGGAGCUCAACUCCAGAACUGCCUUCGAUACUGGCGAUCUUGGAGUCCGGGAGAGGUGGGUGGAACUGCGAGUGUAGAGGUGAAAUUCGUAGAUAUUCGCAAGAACACCAGUGGCGAAGGCGGCUCACUGGCCCGGGUACUGACGCUGAGGUGCGAAAGCGUGGGGAGCAAACAGG
rnacentral:rRNA from 1 species